AGACUCUAGAGGGUAAUGCUCUGGAUUUGAGCUAUGUUCUUUUUUUUUUUAUAAGAAGAGAAACAUGAGGCGAUGUUUCGAAAUGGGCGCGAGCUAGAAAACGAGGUUGGGAAAGGCUUAUCUAAAGAUGAAAAGACUCAAAAAUUAGCUCUUUAGCAUUGGCUUGAAGUUAUUGACCCACAUCAUCGUUAUGGCCACAACUUGCACUUCUAUUAUGAUGUCUGGUCAGC